UACGUAGGGGGCAAGCGUUGUCCGGAAUCAUUGGGCGUAAAGCGCGCGUAGGCGGCCCGGUAAGUCCGUUGUAAAAGUCAAAGGCUCAACCUUUGAAAGCCGAUGGAUACUGCCGGGCUCGAGUCCGGAAGAGGCGAGUAGAAUUCCUGGUGUAGCGGUGGAAUGCGCAGAUAUCAGGAGGAAUACCCAUAGCGAAGGCAGCUCGCUGGGACGGUACUGACGCUGAGGCGCGAAAGCGUGGGGAGCGAACAGG
rnacentral:misc_RNA from 1 species